AGAAGGCAAAGUUAAGGAAACUCAGAAGGAACAGGGUAUUUUGUAGGAAAGGGUUGGUAAAUCUAGAAUUGAAUCGACGUAUCGACAUAUCGAACAGCGACUAUCGAUAGUCUCGAAAAACCCGUGUAAAAUACACACUAAUACUAUAAGCGAUUAGGUGAAAUCUUAUGGGAGCGCACUCACACAUACAAAAAAUCGCAUUUUCAAACGAAUUUUUUGCAAGAGAACAAAGGGAAACUUCACUAGCGAUCGAGAUUUUUACAUUGAUGAAACGGCUAGGGUGAUAGGAAAGUUCUCCCCAGUUGAUCACUGGGAGAACAAAAGUUCAACAUGAUCUCAGUGUUUUCCACAAACGCCAGUGCAUUUCCUCAAAGUUCGUUUCAAUCUCUGUAGUUGAUACUCUCGGCAAUUUACCCAAAAUGGAGCGUGGAUAAGCCGCUCCAGACGUCCAGACAAGCGUCCAUUGAUAUGGCAGCUCCUACUCAAGACAAUCUGAAUGCUUUGCAGCACGCUAUAGAUUCAAUGGAAGAGAAAGGUAUGCAAGAGGAUCCUAGAUAUUCUCAGCUCCUCGCUAUCAGAGCUCGUCAAAAUAACAUGGAGCCCCCUCGACUUCCUGGAUCGGUGAGUUGUCAGUCCCCAAAAAUGCUCUCCGAUCAAGUUUUAUUCUUCAGGGAAAACCAACCAGCAGUUUCUAUUCAAGCUCUCCGUAAAUUUUCAUCAUUUAUCGUAAAUAAAUCACAGAAAAUUGCAAGGAAACAUUUUGACUAAUUUUUCUCGGAGAGUAAAACUCAAUCGGAGGGCUUAAACAUUACCAUAAAGGCGCAUCUUUUCCGCAUUCAGACAUUAGUACAUGAAGAGUGAAAAUUUUAAAUCUGGCAAGUGUCAUCAGGUUAUUGCUAAAAUUAUGCAUAUUAUUUCUCAGCGUAAAAGAGCUCUCAAGUUUUGUGAGGAAUUUUCUCUAAAUUUUCCAUGAACUUCCAAUUUUCCAAUUUUCCUUUAGCCCAAUUACACUUAAGAGAUUUUAAAUUCCUACUUUUCAUUCAUUAAAGAAAAAGGUCGCACUUCUUUCCUUCUAGUGCAGCUUUCACCUAAAAGCUUCAGUUUUGCACUGUUCAAUGAAAAGAUUCUCCUAAGAAAUUUCUCAUUUCUUCUUUGCUUGAUUUCUUAUUACUUAUUUUUUCCAUUAUAUAGCUAGAAGCUCCAAUCGCUAACCUUGGAAGAAAAAUGGGAAAACUCCUUUUGACUUGCUCAUUUCCACACCACCUUAGGAAAGCCCGAUCAGGCAAAGGAUACGGUGCUGCUCCUGGAGGUAGAGCUUUUGGCGCGUUUUUUUUAACGUGGUAUCGCCAAGAGCCCUAAUCCACAGGGAAAGGGAAAGGAAAAGGAAAGAGAAAAGGGGGAGGGAAAAAAAAAUUAAGCACUUACCAACGUUGAUACAGCUCCAUUUGGCACUUCUUUAUGCCGUUUUUGAUACUGCUGAAAAGCAGCUGCGCCUGCAGAAGACGAAAGUAGUGCCCUCCACAACUAAUUAAUGAGGAGAAAUAAAACAGUAUCUUACCUUCGAUUGCGGGAACAUCCAGCAGCAGCAGCCAGCAGCACCUGAAACAGAAAAAAAAAAAAAAAAAUUUCGACGAUCCUGGUACGACGGUGACCAGCAGCAUCGACGAUCCCGGUACGACAGUGUCCCCGGCCCCAACCCUGGCUUCCAGGUUCCUUUCCCCCCUCCUCCCUUUUUUUUUUUUUUUUCUGUUCG
rnacentral:lncRNA from 1 species